rnacentral:rRNA from 1 species
UACAGAGGUCCCAAGCGUUGUUCGGAUUUAUUGGGCGUAAAGGGCGCGUAGGCGGCGCCGUAAGUCGGGUGUGAAAUUUCGGAGCUUAACUCCGAAGCUGCAUUCGAUACUGCGGUGCUUGAGGACUGGAGAGGAGACUGGAAUUCAUGGUGUAGCAGUGAAAUGCGUAGAGAUCAGGAGGAAGACCGGUGGCGAAGGCGGGUCUCUGGACAGUUCCUGACACUGAGGCGCGAAAGCGAGGGGAGCAAACGGG